rnacentral:lncRNA from 1 species
GCUUUGGUUCUGUAUUUCUUCACUAUGACAUUUUGGGAUGCUGAAGUAUAUCCUGUGAUGUUGUGAAACUCCUUAAUGGUGCUAAACAGGGUGUGCCCCAGCAACACCGUCACCCUCAGAACAUUCUCUUGUGUCGAAGAACUCUUUUGGGGUUUUGUUCAGGGGUUCUGCCCCAAACGGAAGAUUGCUACACCUACAGGGUCUCCUGCCACGGAUUGAGUUGGCAACAAGAAACUAACACUUGCAAGGAAACCCAUCAACCUCUGGGGAGCUCAGCUGCCACCACGCACGACAGCCACGACUUAAUAAAGGCGUCCUAAGCAGACAGGUCUUGCUGGUCUGGAACUUGAAGACUCCUGCC